rnacentral:rRNA from 1 species
GAAUAUUGGACAAUGGAGGCAACUCUGAUCCAGCCAUGCCGCGUGAAGGAGGAAUGCGCUAUGCGUUGUAAACUUCUUUUAUACGGGAAAAAUAUACCGCUUUCUAGCGGGAUGGAUUGUACUGUAAGAAUAAGGGUCGGCUAACUUCGUGCCAGAAGCCGCGGUAAUACGAAGGACCCGAGCGUUAUCCGGAUUUAUUGGGUUUAAAGGGCGCGUAGGCGUCCUGGAAAGUUACGGUUGAAAUCUCCUUGCUCAACAAGGAAACUGGCCGUAAAACUAUCAGGAUUGAGUACAUUUGAAGCGGGCGGAAUGUGUCAUGUAGCGGUGAAAUGCUUAGAUAUGACACAGAACACCGAUUGCGAAGGCAGCUCGCUAAACUGUAACUGACGCUGAGGCACGAAAGCGUGGGGAUCAAACAGG